AUCCAGUUGACGAGUCCCAAAUAGGACGAAAUGCGCAUCAAACUGGAU
rnacentral:hammerhead_ribozyme from 1 species